GACGAACGCUGGCGGCGUGCCUAAUACAUGCAAGUUGAGCGCUGAAGGUUGGUACUUGUACCAACUGGAUGAGCAGCGAACGGGUGAGUAACGCGUGGGGAAUCUGCCUUUGAGCGGGGGACAACAUUUGGAAACGAAUGCUAAUACCGCAUAAAAACUUUAAACACAAGUUUUAAGUUUGAAAGAUGCAAUUGCAUCACUCAAAGAUGAUCCCGCGUUGUAUUAGCUAGUUGGUGAGGUAAAGGCUCACCAAGGCGAUGAUACAUAGCCGACCUGAGAGGGUGAUCGGCCACAUUGGGACUGAGACACGGCCCAAACUCCUACGGGAGGCAGCAGUAGGGAAGCUUCGGCAAUGGACGAAAGUCUGACCGAGCAACGCCGCGUGAGUGAAGAAGGUUUUCGGAUCGUAAAACCCUGUUGGUAGAGAAGAACGUUGGUGAGAGUGGAAAGCUCAUCAAGUGACGGUAACUACCCAGAAAGGGACGGCUAACUACGUG
rnacentral:rRNA from 1 species